rnacentral:lncRNA from 1 species
CCUGAUUUAUUAUUUUAUUUCAUUUAUAUUCAGACUUUUUUUAUUUUGCCUUUCUUUUAUUUUUUUAUUAGUUAUUUUUCAUAUUAUUUUUCUUCUUAUUAUUUUAUCUCUUUGUUGUUAUUUUCUUUCGUUUAGUUAUUAUAUUGUUUCUUAUUUUUCUUCUUAAUAUAGUUACCAGUUGUGGCAUGAUUAGGUACUGGCAUAUACUAUUUUCGGAAUAAAGUAUCUAUCUAGGCCACUCAGAUGUUUCCGUUCGUCAUGAGAGCACCAUAGUAAGGUAUUUGAAUUUGCAUGUUGAUUUCUUGGCCCCUC